UAUAUUUCAUUUCGUAUUACGGCAACCAGAAUUUCAUAAUUGACAUACAUCAGAGUACAACACCGCAUAGGCAAGUACUAACUAGAUACCCAAUUACACAACACGUCUAAAUUUCACAUCCAAUAUCUAAAACCUUUGGAAAGUAGCAUCAUAUAUGGUAAAUAUACAUAGGAAUCUCGUCUAGGAAAUUGUUGAAGUGGAAGGCAAAUAUUGAGCCUUCACUGAUGUCAAAGGGCCUUGUAACUUUAUG
rnacentral:lncRNA from 1 species